rnacentral:rRNA from 1 species
AACGAACGCUGGCGGCAUGCCUAACACAUGCAAGUCGAACGAGACCCGCGGGUCGAGUGGCGCAAGGGAGCGUAACGGGUGAGAACCUGCCCUUAGGUUCGGAAUAACCCCCCGAAAGGGGUGCUAAUACCGGAAAAGGUCGCCGGUCCAAAGAUUUAUCGCCUUUGGGGGGGCCCGCGUGGGGUUAGGUGGUUGGUAGGGUAAAAGCCUACCAAGGCGACGGUCCAUAGCUGGUCUGAGAGGAUGAUCAGCAACACUGGGACUGAGACACGGCCCAGACUCCUCCGGGAGGAAGCAGUUGGGAAUAUUGGACGAUGGGCGAGAGCCUGCUCCAGCAAUGCCGCGUGAGUGAUGAAGGCCUUAGGGUUGCACAGCUCUUUUACCCGGGAUGAUAAUGACAGUACCGGGAGAAUAAGCUCCGGCUAACUCCGUG